UACGACCAUAUCGCUUUUGAAAUAACGGUGAUCGUACGAUCACCGAAGUUAAGCAACGUUGAGCCUGGUCAGCACCAAGAUGGAUGGCCACUUGGGAAUACCAGGUGCU